rnacentral:rRNA from 1 species
GUGAAAUUCCGUCGGAAUCUGGGAGGACCAUCUCCUAAGGCUAAAUACUCUCUAGUGACCGAUAGUGAACCAGUACCGUGAGGGAAAGGUGAAAAGUACCCCGGAAGGGGAGUGAAAGAGAACUUGAAACCGUGUGCUUACAAGUAGUCAGAGCCCGUUAAUAGGUGAUGGCGUGCCUUUUGUAGAAUGAACCGGCGAGUUACGAUCUGAUGCAAGGUUAAGCAGGAAAUGUGGAGCCGUAGCGAAAGCGAGUCUGAAUAGGGCGUUGAGUAUUUGGUCGUAGACCCGAAACCAGGUGAUCUACCCAUGGUCAGGUUGAAGUUCA